rnacentral:lncRNA from 1 species
AAGAUGUGGAUGCUUGAGAUUGAUUUGCUGAAUCUGUUUUUACCUUCUUAUUUUUAUCCUUUUUGCUGUCCUUGAAUUUCUUUUCUGGAAACCCAAUAAUGUGGAAGCACUCUUUCCUAAUGUGACCAUAAAAUUUGCAGUUGUCACAGUAUUUUGAGGUGUCUAACUUUCUACCAUUUUUGCUAUAUAAGCCUUUUUCUUCUUUGCCUUCUUUGGCUUUAUUUUCUUCAUUUGUUUUCUUGACAAAAAAUGCAGAUUCACUUACUGUUUUCUCAUUUUUAUCCCUAAAAUUGACAAUCUGUUUCUCUUCUUGUAUAAUCAGAUAAAAUACCUUACUCAUAGUGGGCAAUUCAUUAUGAGAAAGAAUUUGACUUCUAAUUGUUUUGAAAUUGUCAUUCAGUCCUAGAAGGAACUGAUGGAUUUUAUCCUUCUCCAGUUUAUUUGUAUAAACUGAAGAACAUCGCUCACAAAAAAUGCAAUCAUCUAAAUCUAAUUCCACUUUUUGAUCCCAAAGUGCUUUGAAUUUAUCAAAAUACACUACAAAAAACCAGCGCAGUUCUGGCGGCCUGGCCGCCGAUAUAAUAGUUCCUGGCGGCCAAGCCGACGAUAUUCCAUCGCCGGAAGUAAUGUCGCCGGAAUUGUGAAAUACCGGCAGCUUGGCCGCCGACAAAAAAUUGUGGAUUCCGAUUUUAACAGAAAUUGUCCCGGCGGCUUAGUCGCCGGUAUUUUUUUUUGAAAAUUAUAUCCCGG